rnacentral:lncRNA from 1 species
CUAGCCUGCUUGGAUUAUUCUUGUUUCGACGCUCUGGAUAUUCCACGUAGCUUUUGGAUCUUCCACGUAUCUGGCCUUCUUUCACGCCUACGCCUUUCAUCACGAUAUGAAUGCGUCGAAUAUGAAUCAGAUGCCAGUCGAAUAUGACGAAUGCAAAUCGAAGAGGGCCCCUGAAGUCCUCUUCUAUAUAUAUCCAUACUCUAAAAUUCCGAAAACGUAGGUGGAAAUCCUAGAGAGAAAAAAGAGAAAGAAGAAGAGAGAAAAUUUUAUUUUUGGUUCUGUCUCUUACACCCAAAGAGAAAUGGGUUAUAUAUAUAGAUUAGGGGCAAUUGCUUACAUAUUCUUGAAAAGUUUCCAACUUUCCGAUUUACUCCUUUUAGAAGGCUACGUUCCAACCUAUUUUUAAUAUACCCCUAGAAAUUAAAAUCUGUUAAUUAAAUCUGUUAUCUAUGUAAAAUUACUAUUUUAUCCUUUCAAAUAUAUCCUUCCACCAUCAUUGACUAUCUUAUUUGCCCUUAAAGUCGGGGGCACAAAAAGUAUUUUUACUUUUGGUCUUCUCCAAUAUACCCCUUUACCGGCACCAAUAUUUCUUAUUUGCCCUUAAGUUAAUGGCAAAAUUGAUAUUUUAAUUUUUUUAACUGUGGUAGAUAUUUAACUCAUGUUUAACUCAAGUUAACUUAACAGGUAAUAACUGCGGAAGUAUUUUGUAAUAACGGUAGAACAUAUGAGAGGUAUUUUAGAAAGAAAAAAAAAAGUAAGGGUAAAUCAAAUAUUUUCAAACGUAUGAGAGGUAUAUAGGCAAUUAUCCCUAUAGAUUAUUAGGACCCCUCAAGAUAUCUUAAAUCUCACAUAGAGAUUAUAAUAAGGAUUAGAAUUAAAAUAUCUAUAAUAGAUAUCUACUAGAAAAUACGUUUCUUAACUAAUAAGAAAUAUAUAAUCAAUCUUUAUCCUUAACAUAUUAUGUCGAUUGAGUUAAAUUCGAACGGGCUAAUUAAUGUGGACACACCGCAUGGCAACUGCUUAAAUGUCAGAUAUUUGACAAACCAUAAGCUAUCGAAAAAUAAAUUAGAGUCCGGCUGGGAUACUAUUGAUAGCACCAAGCAUUUGGUACUAUCAAGUUUUCCGCCGUUAGAUUUAACUCUUUGACUAUUUUUACCCGUUAGAUUAUACUAUUAAACCAAUAACUUACUCUACCCUAGGGGCCCACAUCAUCUUAACCUUACAUUUUUUCAUCUACGGUGCUAGAUAAUAUAUUCCACCCUAGUUCAUAUAAAUUAUGUACUUAUUGAUUGAUUUAAUGUAGAAAACUGACUCAUAAAUAAUAAUAGCUUUAGGUAUAUUUU